rnacentral:rRNA from 1 species
UACAGAGGGUGCAAGCGUUAAUCGGAAUUACUGGGCGUAAAGCGCGCGUAGGUGGUAAGGUAAGUUGGAUGUGAAAUCCCUGGGCUUAACCUAGGAAUUGCAUUCAAGACUGCCUUGCUAGAGUACAGUAGAGGGAAGUGGAAUUUCCGGUGUAGCGGUGAAAUGCGUAGAUAUCGGAAAGAACAUCAGUGGCGAAGGCGACUUCCUGGACUGAUACUGACACUGAGGUGCGACAGCGUGGGGAGCAAACAGG